AACGGGGUCCGGAAAAGCCUGUUUAGGUUAUCCUGUUUUAAUGAGGAAAAGAUUUAUUUUUCUUUUCCUUUUACUUUUUCUUUUCUCUAUUUCUUUCCCGUGCACCCGUCGCCGAAACCACCGCGCACCCGAGCCGACGCCUUCUCCCUCACCGACUCUCCUCUUGCCCUAGCCACCCGGCGCCGGCCGACCGCCGACUACCGCAGUCCUCGCCGGCCAUCCCGUGCCCUAGCCGAGUUCCUCCUGUCGAGGCUGCGCCCUAGUUUCUCCGCCGUCGAACGGAGAGUGUCGGCUACCUUCCUCUGCCCUAGACAAACUCCAGCGCCGGCCGCCGGCACCUGUGCCCUAGCACGACCCUUCUCCUCUUUCGAGCAUCGGCAGCCGAUCAAGUUCUUUUGCCAAGCCGACAUCGUCACUACCGCCCUGGUGCCCUAGCGCCGGUCUUCUGCCGCGACGCUGACCCCCUCUCCCGCCGGCGACGAGAGCCACUUUGCCUCUCCCCUCCUCUGGUCCGACGAGCCACCUCCGGACACCCUUGCUCUCGACCCCGUCGCGACGAUCAGCGGCCACUGGAUGUCGAUGUGCAGAGAUCACGCCAUGCCCUAGCACUGUCGCCGACUGCCAGAAUUGAUCCAGCACGCCUUGUGACACUGCCGAUCCCUUGCCUCUGCCCUAGCCUUCAGCCGCGUGCCCUACUUGAUCUUGGAGGUCACGGAUUGGUGAGGUUUUGUGUAUUGUGGGGUGUUUUUGGAUUACGGCAGCGACCCCAUCAUGCAGCAUCCUGUUCCAGCACCAACAGAGGCUAGGUAGUGAGCUUUAGACCCAGCCGCUAUAGCUCCAGUUGUGAGCAACGACAUGAACGAAUUUUUUUUGGGACUUUGACGCGAGACGAGUAUCUCGAUGUCGGAUUUGGGCAUUUCUAU